GAGGGCGAAGUCCGGCUCCCGUAGGAGUCCGGACGAAGUUUGCCUGCAGCCGAAGUUGGAGAUGGAGUCCAGCUCCUGUAGGAGUCCGGACGAAGCUUGCCUGCAGCCGAAGUUGGAGACGAAGUCUGGCUCCCGUAGGAGUCUGGAUGAAGCUUUCCUGUAGAAUCCCCGAGGGGUCACUCCGGACACGAACUUCGGCUGGGGGGGUUUUACACCCAACAGAUCCUAUUGUAAUUUAAUCUCUAGAUCUAAUUGGUUCAACC
rnacentral:lncRNA from 1 species